rnacentral:rRNA from 1 species
CAAUAGCGUAUAUUAAAGCUGUUGCGGUUAAAAAGCUCGUAGUUGGAUUUCUGUCAAGGACAACUGGUCCGCCCUCCGGGUGAGCACAUAGUUUGGUCUUGGCAUCUUGCUGGAAGCUGUUGCUGCACUUGGCUGUGUGGCGCAUCGUCCAGCACUUUCACUUUGAGGAAAUUGGAGUGUUUCAAGCAGGCACAUGCCUUUGGACACAGUAGCAUGGAAUAAUUAGAUUGGGCUUUUGCUCCAAUUUGUCGGUUUCUGGAGCUGAGGUGAGAAUUAAUGGGGAUUGUUGGGGGCAUCCGAAUUUAGCCGUCAGAGGUGAAAUUCUUGGAUCUGCUAAAGACGGACAACUGCGAAAGCGUUUGCCCAGGAUGUUUUCAUUGA